ACCUCAGAGACCAACUAAGUUAGUUCUGGGUAUAAGCUUUCAUGUGCAUGCACACUUAAGCUUAUACCCAGAACUAACUUAGUUGGUCUCUAAGGU
rnacentral:miRNA from 1 species